CCCAGUGUUAGUCUCCAGAUCCACUGCAACCCUGACCAGGAUAAAGUGGUAACUGAAGAGAAAUGAAUGAACUGAGGGAUCUGCUCAGAAAACCUUCUAUUAGUGAACUGUGUAAUAUCAUCAUAAGAUUCAGCAGAGUCAACAGAAACACAUUGAACAACAACAAGCAUCAGAAACUGUAUUAUCAGCAUUUUAAUUCAUUACUUUCAUUAAUGGAUUGUUACACCACAUAUGUAAUAUCAGAUGAAAUGAGGUUUGAGUUUACAAUAUUAUAAGUGGAAGUAGUGAUGAAAGAAUUUACAUGACUACGUGUAAUUAUAAGUGGGUGGAGCUAGAUGUGUAAGAUACAGUUUAGACAGUUUCACAGAGACAACACUGCCAUUCAUAUCUACUGCAAGAGAGACACUCACAACAACCAUGUUACUCUUCCUCUCUGUUUUCAUAGCUCUUACUGAUGUUGCAGAGGCUGUAGAUGAGCUCAUUAAACCAGACCAAACCAUCAUACCUUCACGUGAAGGCAGCAGCACCACACUGACCUGCACAUAUGAUGACUCGGCUUACUAUCUCCACUGGUAUCGACAAAACCCUCAAUCAGGACCAGAGUUUCUGAUGAUGAUUCAAAAAUUCACAGAAGCUGUGACUAAAGCUGAACACCUUGACCCAAGACUAUCCACCAGACUCCAUAAAAAGGAAAAGAAAGUAGAUCUGGAGAUCUUUCCUGCUGCAGUAUCAGACUCUGCACUGUACUACUGCGCCAUGGAGCCCACAGUGACACAAAACUCAAACACACUGUACAAAAAGUGAAGCUGGAUUUUCUCUCAGGAGGGGGAGCUGUUUACCUGCUUCAUUCAAAUACACUUUUCUUUCUUACUUCCCACACUUUCAUAUUUACUUGCCUUUGAAUAACAACAAUCACCUAAUUCCAUCAUUUCUAGAUGGGAAAAUAGCUGCAUAAGACAUAUAAAUAAGUUUAAAAGCAAUUAUGCACACUGUUUUCAGUGAAUUGGCACAGAUACACAGCUAUGCAGCGUCUGGUCACUAGGUCAAAAUCUUCAUCCUCAUAAUCAUCCAUGUUUGCAGUCUGUGGCCACAGUAUUCUUUCUGGAACAUUCUGCAAAUAAAAAAACGAGGAAUUUCUGUACAAAACUACAGCUGUUAUGUGUAAGGAUUGGGAAUUUGACCUUCUAGGCUGCUUGUGAAACAACAUUUUGUAAAAUUGAUUCCCACAGCUACAAGAGGAAGGUAAUAGACAUUCAGAGUGCACAACACAUUGAACCUUGAGGUGGAUGAGCUACAACAGCAGAAGAGCACAUCAGGUUCCACUCCUGUCAGCCAAGAACAGGAAUCUGAGGCUACAGUGGGGACAGGCUCACUGACACUGUACAGCUGAAGAUUUACAGAAAGACCAGGUAAAGAUUAGCUAAUCUUCUACUUAUAAUCAUUACUAUGUUGACAUCACAUGAAGCAGAACUAAAUGUUCUGAGAUGUCUGAAUUUUGUAGUAAUAAUUUGGUAGAGAGAGAAAGACAGAGACAGAGAGAGAGAGAGAGACAGAGUUCAGACAUUCAGAGCUAUUAAAUGUUUAAUCAAUCAGUCUUAAAGGACACACCUGGGCAACAAGAAACACCUGUCAGUCGCAUGGUCCAAAUUUGUGAUCACUUGAAAAAUGGGUGGCUUCUAACAAAAGGUUAAAUGAUUUUUUUCUUCAUA